UACGAGGGGUGCAAGCGUUAUUCGGAGUUACUGGGCGUAAAGAGCGUGUAGGCGGCUUGUUAAGUUGGGUGUUAAAUUUCCUGGCUCAACCAGGAAUCUGCAGCCAAAACUGGCAAGCUAGAGGGCAAGUGAGAAAGGUAGAAUUCUCGGAGUAGCGGUAAAAUGCGUAGAUCUCGAGAGGAAUACCGGUUGCGAAGGCGGCCUUUUGGCUUGUACCUGACGCUAGAGCGCGAAAGCGUGGGGAGCAAACAGG
rnacentral:misc_RNA from 1 species